ensembl:lncRNA HEXIM2-AS1 HEXIM2 antisense RNA 1
GAGGAAGGCGACGAGAAGCUCGGCGGCCAUCGCCGCCAUUUUGGGCUGGGAGGAGGCAGCGGAGGGACUCGCUGCGCAGUGAGAGCACCCCGUGGGGGGUGGUCCGGGCGCGGGGAGAGGCCGGGCCGAGUGGGCUACCUGAAGUGGCGGCGCCGGGAGACGGCGGGAAGUGGGACCGGGGGCCAGGGAGGGUGAAGGUUGGAGUCUCCUCGGCCGAGCCCGGUCCUCAAACCGUCCCGGCAGCCCCGCAGCCUCGCCUCUCACAGAGUGCGGGGUUCUUCGGUAAUUACCGCGUGUUUCCCGAGACCCCAGAAGGGGAGAGGCUGGUGAAACGGCUUCCCUCUGCGGUCUUUCCACAGGGGCGCGGAUCCUGAGGCCGAGCUCUGCCAGCUUCCCUCCCCACCCCCAUUCGGCCUGGGUAUGGCGGCGAGGCCCCGCACAGAGGGACUCCCACUUCGACUGGAGAGGUGGGGGCGACGCCAGAUUCCAGAGGCUGGCGCCGCGGGGGAGGGCGGAGGUCGCAGGUCUGGCCACAAGUCGGCGUGGCAGUCAGCUGGAGGCUCCGAGAGCGGAGAUCCCAGUGCACCCACCUUACCUCGCUUACACCAAAGCGCCAUCUCGCCGCCCGGGUUGCGAAAAACCACGACCCUCUUAAACUACUGUAGCAACCACUAAUUCCCCCUGGGAGCAGCUAGAGAGGGGCACUUGGAAACCUUCACGAGCUCGGUGCCUGAAGGUCUCUGAGGCUCUUGCCCUCAAGAUCUCUCCCAUUCAGCCCCGAUUCUCCGGACAACCUGACCUAGCAUGUCGCCAGCCUCUUGGUGAAACGCCUAAAGUGUGCUGCCCCACUUCUCUUGAAAGUUUACACCGAAGGGAUGAGGUUUUGCCCUUUACAGGGUUGGGGCACAAAGUCGGAGUCGCUGCGGCUCCGAAAUAGAAACGGAGUUGCCCAUUUCGUAUGCUUCAUCAACAUCUGCUUGCAUUUUGAAAUCCUAGUCUUAACUUUUACACAACUUUUAGAGAAAUGGCUGCCCUCCUAGAGGGAAAAACGAACUACAGUAAUUCCAAUUCCAAUGUAAUCUUUGUAAGACUACAAAAUCUUUCCAGUUUAAAGAUUUUUCUUUUCCCACAGACUAAACAAAGUCAGAGUAUUUUGUGUUCUACUGGUGCAUUGUUACUAGGUAACCUCAAUUUUUUGAAAUUCCAAGUAAUUGAAGGAUCACUUUUGUAGAUCCUAAAUGCUACCAAAAAAGAAACCAGUUUUUAUCUACUUCAUAUGUAUAGCGUUUAAGAGAUGAGGAGACCUGCUUUGAAAGAAUAAACUCUUAACCUUACAUUAUAGCUGUAGCAGCUUCUUAAAGAUUGAA